UUCAGUGACUCUCAAGCACUCACUUUGAGCCAUUGCCCAAUAUUUGGAAUCCUGAUGAUGCCUUUCUCUGCCGUGUCCCUUAGAUUAUGGCUGUAUUAUUCACAUUGAAGGACAUUUCAUCUCGCUUAUAGAAAACUUAAAAGAUUGCUCACCCAGAACGUUUCCAUAGGGGUGCUGAAAAUUAUGGAAUAGCUGAAGACUGGAUUUAAUCAGACUGGUUUCAUAGAUACCUCACAGAGUAAGGAGUUUCCUGGCUAUUGAUGCUGUUAAGCAGAUGUUGGCGACCAUCUCCUCCAAAUGAAAUAGAGACGAUUCCUCCUUUUGGGGAAAUGGAGCUUCCUCCUGAGGGCUCAGAGGCAUGCUUUUGGUGAGCGCCACCUGCCACGUUCUGUGAUAUCUCACACACAGAGACUAACUCAAGCUCUGGCAAUGUCUGUGAGGGGUCCAAGCAUUUCAUUCCCACCCAAGAUGGGUCUUGUUCUCUGAAGUUGGCUAAUGGCUGAAGUCAUCUGUGCCAAGUGCAGAGUCCCACAAUGCUUGUCAUGAAGAGGGAGCUCAGCAAAUAACAACUCUGUCUGGACACCUUUUCCCCCGCAGCUGAAGGGAAAGUGAAAUAGAACCGAGAGCUGGCUGACAUACCAUGGAGCCCUGUAGAAGCCUGAAGAACAGGAGGGCAAAACCCUAGUCUCAGGAGCCUGAGCCACUCCCUCAAGCCACAGAUCAGAAACAAGGCAGGUUCUGGACACAGUGUCCAAUUUCAGGUGUUUUCCGGACAUCCCUAAACUGAGUUAAUGGAGAAGAAACUCCACAAGAUUUGGGAAGCUUCAAUCAAGGUCAUCUGAGAAGUAGGACCCAGUGUAUUACCAUUACUUAUGGGUGUCGACAUAGAGAUUUAUAGACAUGGGAAAGACUAGACAGUAAGAAUGCCUGUAAAGAGGCGCCAUGUUUCACCAGGGACUAAUGUCUUCAAGUUACCUUGCAAAUGUUAAGAAAUAUGCCUACUUAAUUGUAUGGUGCAUUUUCCAUGGUCUUUGCUUUAUUCAUUUCAUGUGCAUUUUGAUUAAAAAUUUUGCAUUUUAUUAUCUUUUAUGUUUUGCAAUAAAUACAAACCUGGACUGCU